UGACAAUCUUUAUGCCAGUGAUUCUCAGCUGUACCUGCAGGUCGAAAUCACCUGGAACCCACCCCAGAGAAUCUGAUUAGCUGGUCUGGGAUGACCCCAGGGCAUCAGACUGUUACCAGCUCCCGCAGGUGAUUUUAAGGUGCUGCCAACAUCGAGAACCUCCGCUCUGUGCUGUGAUAGAAGGUAGGAAUGCCAGCAGGCGACUGUUCAACUGCCAUUGAGUAGUUGAGAAACAGGCUUAUUAAGUGCGUGGAACAUUCUCGUUAGAUAAUCCCCUAACAUGCAUCGUGAGUCACCUCUCCAAGAUCAAUACGUUUUAUUUUUCUAACCGUGAUUUGUCCACUCUGGUCAUCAGGACCUGGGACUCAAAGUCGUUGUGAACAGAAGUCAUGAUUUUCUCUGGCUUUUGGUUCUUCCCUCUCCCUUUGAUUCCAGUUUCUCUCACCAGGUGUCUGUGAGCGAGGACAAAUAAAAAUAUUACAGGGUGCUUUGAAACAUCGGUGUAUGACCGAGAACGACCCGAGGCACCGGUGCUCACGGCGGCCUUCCUCUUCUCGGUGGCCGUGCAUCAUCUGUGACUCCAGGUCGAAGAGAGUCUUAAUACCCAUACUCUGAAACUUAGUGCAGUAGAGCAAAACUGUCUUCCCACUCCUGAAAACAAGCUCAAGAGUUCCAUAGAUAUCAUGCACCAAAAAUUAGAUGUGAGAACUGAGGCAUUCAGAAGCUAAGUCGCUGGCCUGGAUCCAAGGACAAUUCAGAGGAAGAAGAGCUGGAACUGGUUCUGUUGACACCCAACCCAGGACAUUGUGGUUAGAGCUAGAAGCCUUCACAUCAUGUGCACGGGGAGCUUGGUUUGCAUGGAUGGACUCUUCUAUGCUAGGGUGACUCCAGGACAGCCUGUCACAAGCCUGGGGUGAGCACCAAGAGUCUUCUGACCUGGAGGCAGCUUAUGGGAGGAAGAAGAGGAUGCACUAGCCUGGGACCCUUACUUUAUCCAAGUAGAAGCCAGGGCAAGCAGGAAGUGAAGGCAAUAUAUGUGUGCAUGAAAGAGAAAGUGCUAAGAAGCAUUUAGACAAGUAACAGGAAGGCUGUUUCAUUUUAGAUAAAUGUGGCAAAGGGAAGACAUGCAGAGCUUAUUCAGACAGAAAGGCUAAGAGGUUCUUUUUAAAUUGUCAAAGUGCUGGAGUGACAACAGACUGACUUUUCUCCUGCCAUCCUCACUGUCACAGGAGAAUGAUGACCCUUCCCCAGCUCAUCUUCUAAUCCUCUGUUUUGGGUACAAUGAAAAGAACAUUGAAAAAGCUACACAGGGAAGGUCCACAUUUUAUGUGGAGGCAAUAGUCUAAGAAAGCAAAGUUAUAGUCAAAUGACUUAAGAAAAGAGAAUUACUGGCUUGCAAAAUUGAUAUAAAAAUCUACCCUCUCGGGACAUCUGGGUGGCUCAGUGAUUGAGCAGGUCAUGAUCCCGGGAUCCUGUGAUCGAGUCCCGCAUGGGGCUCCCUGCUUCUCUCUCUGCCUGUGUCUCU